UAAUUAUUUAGAGAAGAAAUGUGAUAUUUCUAAAAUAUUAUAUUUCUUCAUAUUGAUUAUUACUUUUCAUCAUAAGAAAAAUUACUUUGAAAUAACUUGAAAUAAAUAACAUUUUUAAAAACAUUGAACUAAAUAAAAUAUAGAUAAAUAAUAUAAAAACAUCAUAAUAAAAGCUGAAAACAAAAUUAAAAUAACAAAAAAAUAUUGAAACAAAAAAAAAUAAUAAAAUACAUAAAUAUAAAAUUAAUAACAUUGUAAAGAAAAGGAAUUUUUUUUUAAAAAGAAAUUGAAGCAUAAAUAAAAGAGCAAAAAGAAAAGCAGCUAAAAAAAGCGUUGAAACGAGAAACGCAUGCAAAAAAACAAAUACAACCAAAGCAGCAAAAAACUGUAGUUGUUGGGGUUCGAACACGCGCCCUUAGAAAUAGGGGGCGAAAGCUAAACCAAUUGCACCAAACAAUAUUUAUCAUUUUUAUGUUAAAUUUAGUAUAACAAGUUAGAAGUAUACAGUCUGGGUCGAUCCAUCACAUCCCAUGCGACCGCCGCACAGGAGACUAGCCGUUUUUAAGAAUAUACUCCCUCCGUCCCAAUAAAUGUGGCCACCUUUCCAUUUUGGUUUGUCCCACUAAAAGUGGCCACUUUCUCAAAAUAGAAAUAAUUAGUAUAAUUUAAUUAAGCAUAAUUAGUUAUCUAAACCUAAAUCCUAUUUAAAUAAACAAACACACACUCACACACACAUCACCAUACGCACACUAGCGGCGCACCCU
rnacentral:lncRNA from 1 species